rnacentral:rRNA from 1 species
GAUUAAGUUAUUAAGGGCGCACGGUGGAUGCCUUGGCACUAGAAGCCGAUGAAGGACGUUACUAACGACGAUAUGCUUUGGGGAGCUGUAAGUAAGCUUUGAUCCAGAGAUUUCCGAAUGGGGAAACCCAGCAUGAGUUAUGUCAUGUUAUCGAUAUGUGAAUACAUAGCAUAUCAGAAGGCACACCCGGAGAACUGAAACAUCUUAGUACCCGGAGGAAGAGAAAGAAAAUUCGAUUCCCUUAGUAGCGGCGAGCGAAACGGGAAGAGCCCAAACCAACAAGCUUGCUUGUUGGGGUUGUAGGACACUCUAUACGGAGUUACAAAGGACGACAUUAGACGAAUCAUCUGGAAAGAUGAAUCAAAGAAGGUAAUAAUCCUGUAGUCGAAAAUGUUGUCUCUCUUGAGUGGAUCCUGAGUACGACGGAGCACGUGAAAUUCCGUCGGAAUCUGGGAGGACCAUCUCCUAAGGCUAAAUACUCUCUAGUGACCGAUAGUGAACCAGUACCGUGAGGGAAAGGUGAAAAGCACCCCGGAAGGGGAGUGAAAUAGAACCUGAAACCGUGUGCUUACAAGUAGUCAGAGCCCGUUAAUGGGUGAUGGCGUGCCUUUUGUAGAAUGAACCGGCGAGUUACGAUUUGAUGCAAGGUUAAGCAGUAAAUGUGGAGCCGUAGCGAAAGCGAGUCUGAAUAGGGCGUUUAGUAUUUGGUCGUAGACCCGAAACCAGGUGAUCUACCCUUGGUCAGGUUGAAGUUCAGGUAACACUGAAUGGAGGACCGAACCGACUUACGUUGAAAAGUGAGCGGAUGAACUGAGGGUAGCGGAGAAAUUCCAAUCGAACCUGGAGAUAGCUGGUUCUCUCCGAAAUAGCUUUAGGGCUAGCCUCAAGUGAUGAUUAUUGGAGGUAGAGCACUGUUUGGACGAGGGGCCCCUCUCGGGUUACCGAAUUCAGACAAACUCCGAAUGCCAAUUAAUUUAACUUGGGAGUCAGAACAUGGGUGAUAAGGUCCGUGUUCGAAAGGGAAACAGCCCAGACCACCAGCUAAGGUCCCAAAAUAUAUGUUAAGUGGAAAAGGAUGUGGCGUUGCCCAGACAACUAGGAUGUUGGCUUAGAAGCAGCCAUCAUUUAAAGAGUGCGUAAUAGCUCACUAGUCGAGUGACACUGCGCCGAAAAUGUACCGGGGCUAAACAUAUUACCGAAGCUGUGGAUUGUCCUUUGGACAAUGGUAGGAGAGCGUUCUAAGGGCGUUGAAGCAUGAUCGUAAGGACAUGUGGAGCGCUUAGAAGUGAGAAUGCCGGUGUGAGUAGCGAAAGACGGGUGAGAAUCCCGUCCACCGAUUGACUAAGGUUUCCAGAGGAAGGCUCGUCCGCUCUGGGUUAGUCGGGUCCUAAGCUGAGGCCGACAGGCGUAGGCGAUGGAUAACAGGUUGAUAUUCCUGUACCACCUAUAAUCGUUUUAAUCGAUGGGGGGACGCAGUAGGAUAGGCGAAGCGUGCGAUUGGAUUGCACGUCUAAGCAGUAAGGCUGAGUAUUAGGCAAAUCCGGUACUCNNNNNNNNNNNNNNNNNNNNNNNNNNNNNNNNNNNNNNNNNNNNNNNNNNNNNNNNNNNNNNNNNNNNNNNNNNNNNNNNNNNNNNNNNNNNNNNNNNNNUUAAGGCUGAGCUGUGAUGGGGAGAAGACAUUGUGUCUUCGAGUCGUUGAUUUCACACUGCCGAGAAAAGCCUCUAGAUAGAAAAUAGGUGCCCGUACCGCAAACCGACACAGGUAGUCAAGAUGAGAAUUCUAAGGUGAGCGAGCGAACUCUCGUUAAGGAACUCGGCAAAAUGACCCCGUAACUUCGGGAGAAGGGGUGCUCUUUAGGGUUAACGCCCAGAAGAGCCGCAGUGAAUAGGCCCAAGCGACUGUUUAUCAAAAACACAGGUCUCUGCUAAACCGUAAGGUGAUGUAUAGGGGCUGACGCCUGCCCGGUGCUGGAAGGUUAAGAGGAGUGGUUAGCUUCUGCGAAGCUACGAAUCGAAGCCCCAGUAAACGGCGGCCGUAACUAUAACGGUCCUAAGGUAGCGAAAUUCCUUGUCGGGUAAGUUCCGACCCGCACGAAAGGCGUAACGAUUUGGGCACUGUCUCAACGAGAGACUCGGUGAAAUCAUAGUACCUGUGAAGAUGCAGGUUACCCGCGACAGGACGGAAAGACCCCGUGGAGCUUUACUGUAGCCUGAUAUUGAAAUUCGGCACAGCUUGUACAGGAUAGGUAGGAGCCUUUGAAACGUGAGCGCUAGCUUACGUGGAGGCGCUGGUGGGAUACUACCCUAGCUGUGUUGGCUUUCUAACCCGCACCACUUAUCGUGGUGGGAGACAGUGUCAGGCGGGCAGUUUGACUGGGGCGGUCGCCUCCUAAAAGGUAACGGAGGCGCUCAAAGGUUCCCUCAGAAUGGUUGGAAAUCAUUCAUAGAGUGUAAAGGCAUAAGGGAGCUUGACUGCGAGACCUACAAGUCGAGCAGGGUCGAAAGACGGACUUAGUGAUCCGGUGGUUCCGCAUGGAAGGGCCAUCGCUCAACGGAUAAAAGCUACCCCGGGGAUAACAGGCUUAUCUCCCCCAAGAGUUCACAUCGACGGGGAGGUUUGGCACCUCGAUGUCGGCUCAUCGCAUCCUGGGGCUGUAGUCGGUCCCAAGGGUUGGGCUGUUCGCCCAUUAAAGCGGUACGCGAGCUGGGUUCAGAACGUCGUGAGACAGUUCGGUCCCUAUCCGUCGUGGGCGUAGGAAAUUUGAGAGGAGCUGUCCUUAGUACGAGAGGACCGGGAUGGACAUACCUCUGGUGUACCAGUUGUCGUGCCAACGGCAUAGCUGGGUAGCUAUGUGUGGACGGGAUAAGUGCUGAAAGCAUCUAAGCAUGAAGCCCCCCUCAAGAUGAGAUUUCCCAACUUCGGUUAUAAGAUCCCUCAAAGAUGAUGAGGUUAAUAGGUUCGAGGUGGAAGCAUGGUGACAUGUGGAGCUGACGAAUACUAAUCGAUCGAAGACUUAAUCAA